UACGUAGGUCCCGAGCGUUGUCCGGAUUUAUUGGGCGUAAAGCGAGCGCAGGUGGUUUAAUAAGUCUGAUGUAAAAGGCAGUGGCUCAACCAUUGUGUGCAUUGGAAACUGUUAGACUUGAGUGCAGUAGAGGAGAGUGGAAUUCCAUGUGUAGCGGUGAAAUGCGUAGAUAUAUGGAGGAACACCGGUGGCGAAAGCGGCUCUCUGGACUGUAACUGACACUGAGGCUCGAAAGCGUGGGUAGCAAAC
rnacentral:rRNA from 1 species